UACCAGCUCUCCGAGUUGUAGGGAUGAUUAUUGGGCUUAAAGCGUCCGUAGCUGGCUUAGCAAGUCUCCUGUUAAAUUCAGCGACCUAAUCGUUGAGCCGCGGGAGAUACUACUAGGCUAGGAGGCGGGAGAGGUCGACGGUACUUUCGGGGUAGGGGUGAAAUCCUAUAAUCCCGGGAGGACCACCAGUGGCGAAGGCUGUCGACUAGAACGCGCUCGACGGUGAGGGACGAAAGCUGGGGUAGCGAACCGGAUUAGAUACCCGGGUAGUCCCAGCUGUAAACGAUGCGGGCUAGGUGUUGGGAUGGCUACGUGCCAUUUCAGUGCCGCAGGGAAGCCAUUAAGCCCGCCGCCUGGGGAGUACGGCCGCAAGGCUGAAACUUAAGGAAUUGGCGGGGAGCACCACAAGGCGUGAAGCUUGCGGUUC
rnacentral:rRNA from 1 species